CGGGUGAGUAAUGUAUGGGGAUCUGCCUGAUGGCGGGGGAUAACUACUGGAAACGGUAGCCAAUACCGCAUAAUGUCUACGGACCAAAGCGGGGGACCUCCGGGCCUCGCGCCAUCAGAUGAACCCAUAUGGGAUUAGCUAGUAGGUGAGGUAACGGCUUACCUAGGCGACGAUCCCUAGCUGGUCUGAGAGGAUGAUCAGCCACACUGGGACUGAGACACGGCCCAG
rnacentral:rRNA from 1 species